rnacentral:lncRNA from 7 species
UUAAUCUUGUUAAUAGAUGCUAAUAGAUCGUGUUAAAAUAAAACAUGUCUACUAGCUAAGACUUCAAACAUACCUAACUAAUUGGUAGUAUUAGCUAAUUAUUUAAUGCAUAAUUGUUAGCCCAGUGGCAACAUUAGCCGUGAGAAUGGCCUGAGUCACAUCUCACCACAUCCGCGACCGCCCGACCGCGACGCUGAAGGGGAACGCCUCGCCGCCACCGGCGACAGCUGGCGCGAGAGGCUCCGUCGACGGACCUGCUACUCGCUUCCUUCAUCGCCACCUCGGAUGGCAGGCCCCGUUGAAGCACACACACUGGCUGCCUCAGCACCACCUCCGACGCCAAACCCUAACCUGGACUGGCGGGUUCGACACCCACCCAGGCACCAUCGCCUACCCUAAGGUCUUUCAUCUGGAUGCAGGGAGGAGGGAGCUCUGCAGCAAAGGAAGUCUGUAGUCACCAUGGUCCAUUUCAAGAACAGGAAGCAUCAGGCGGCUUGCAAGAAAGCUGCACUGGAGUGCGAUUGCGACGAAGCGAAAUUUUGAACAGUACAGGUUGGCCGCGCGGUGGUAGUGUCACGGUGGGUGUCGUCCGGUCCGUAGAGAUCGAGCUGCUUUGAGAAGAUUAGAGAGGACUAGAGAGCUAGCUAGCCGAAGAAGGAAGAACUCGUAUCUCCCCCUUGGUGUUUUUUUCUGUUUCGUUGUAUCCGCGUGAUGCUGUUAAUUCUGGGCUAUCUAAGGAUUUUUUUUUUGCCCCAGUUAUUAGCAUGUGCUCAUACCAUAACGAAUUGCUGCAUUCUUCUGCCAAUACAGUUUUGGAUAAUAGGGUAACUG